AAUUGAUAAGGGAAUUGCCCAAUUAUUUGAGACUGCUGUAAAGCUUCAACCAGGUUAUGUGACUGCCUGGAACAACCUUGGGGAUGCCUAUGAGAAAAAUAAAGACAUGAAGAAUGCUCUUAAAGCAUUUGAAGAAGUUCUACUUUUUGACCCUAACAAUAAAGUAGCACGUCCUAGGCGAGAUGCAUUGAAGGAUCAAGUAACAACGUACAAAGGAGUUUCCGUUAAGUCAAAGAAGAAAUGAGUUGGCGGGCAAGUGGACAAGUGGGAUUCUGGAUCUCAUGAAAGAGGAUGAGUUUUGUUGGUUAAUGAAUCUCUCUCUAUAUAUA